rnacentral:tRNA from 2 species
GGGGGUGUAGCUCAGCUGGGAGAGCGCCUGCCUUGCACGCAGGAGGUCAGCGGUUCGAUCCCGCUCAUCUCCACCA